UCAUGCCCCUUAUGACCUGGGCUACACACGUGCUACAAUGGACGGUACAAAGAGCUGCAAGACCGCGAGGUGGAGCUAAUCUCAUAAAACCGUUCUCAGUUCGGAUUGUAGGCUGCAACUCGCCUACAUGAAGCUGGAAUCGCUAGUAAUCGCGGAUCAGCAUGCCGCGGUGAAUACGUUCCCGGGCCUUGUACACACCGCCCGUCACACCACGAGAGUUUGUAACACCCGAAGUCGGUGGGGUAACCUUUUGGAGCCAGCCGCCUAAGGUGGGACAGAUGAUUGGGGUGAAGUCGUAACAAGGUAGCCGUAUCGGAAGGUGCGGCUGGAUCACCUCCUUUCUAUGGA
rnacentral:rRNA from 1 species